AGGACGAACGCUGGCGGCGUGCUUAACACAUGCAAGUCGAGCGAGGCCCGUCCUUCGGGACGGUGCCCUAGCGGCGAACGGGUGAGUAACACGUGGGCAACCUGCCCCUAGCACUGGGAUAACUCCGGGAAACCGGGGCUAAUACCGGAUAUGACCUUUGAGGGCAUCCUCGAAGGUGUAAAGGAUUCUGGCUAGGGAUGGGCCCGCGGCCUAUCAGCUUGUUGGUGGGGUAACGCCUACCAAGGCGACGACGGGUAGCCGGCCUGAGAGGGCGACCGGCCACACUGGGACUGAGACACGGCCCAGACUCCUACGGGAGGCAGCAGUGGGGAAUAUUGCACAAUGGGCGAAAGCCUGAUGCAGCGACGCCGCGUGAGGGAUGACGGCCUUCGGGUUGUAAACCUCUUUCAGCAGGGACGAAGCGAAGUGACGGUACCUGCAGAAGAGCACCGGCCAACUACGUGCCAGCAGCCGC
rnacentral:rRNA from 1 species